rnacentral:pre_miRNA from 1 species
AAUGGCACUGCAUGAAUUCACGGCGUUCAACCACUUGAGCGUACCAUAGCCGUGCUUUCUCGGUGACAUUCC